rnacentral:rRNA from 1 species
UACGUAGGGGGCAAGCGUUGUCCGGAUUUAUUGGGCGUAAAGAGCGUGUAGGCGGCCAAGCAGGUCAGCUGUGAAAACUCGAGGCUCAACCUCGAGACGUCGGUUGAAACCGCUUGGCUAGAGUCCGGAAGAGGAGAGUGGAAUUCCCGGUGUAGCGGUGAAAUGCGCAGAUAUCAGGAGGAACACCGGUGGUGUAGACGGCUCUCUGGACCGUAACUGACGCUGAGGCACGAAAGCGUGGGUAGCAAACAGG